rnacentral:rRNA from 1 species
GCCUUAAUUGGCUUAUAACUAUAUCCACUUACACCUGUGAACUGUUCUACUACUUGACGCAAGUCGAGUAUUUUUACAAACAAUGUGUAAUGAACGUCGUUUUAUUAUAACAAAAUAAAACUUUCAACAACGGAUCUCUUGGCUCUCGCAUCGAUGAAGAACGCAGCGAAUUGCGAUAAGUAAUGUGAAUUGCAGAAUCCAGUGAAUCAUCGAAUCUUUGAACGCAGCUUGCGCUCUCUGGUAUUCCGGAGAGCAUGCCUGUUUCAGUGUCAUGAAAUCUCAACCACUAGGGUUUCCUAAUGGAUUGGAUUUGGGCGUCUGCGAUUGUCUAAUCGCUCGCCUUAAAAGAGUUAGCAAGUUUGACAUUAAUGUCUGGUGUAAUAAGUUUCACUGGGUCCAUUGUGUUGAAGCGUGCUUCUAAUCGUCCGCAAGGACAAUUACUUUGACUCUGGCCUGAAAUCAGGUAGGACUACCCGCUGAACUUAAACAUAUCAACAAGCGGAGGAAAAGAAACUAACAAGGAUUCCCCUAGUAACGGCGAGUGAAGCGGGAAGGGCUCAAAUUUGGAAUCUGGCAGUCUUCGAUUGUCCGAGUUGUAAUCUAUAGAGGCGUUUUCCGUGCUGGACCGUGUACAAGUCUCCUG